UACGUAGGGGGCAAGCGUUGUCCGGAAUCAUUGGGCGUAAAGAGCUCGUAGGCGGCUUGUUGCGUCGACUGUGAAAACCCACGGCUCAACCGUGUGGUCUGCAGUCGAUACGGGCAGGCUAGAAUUCGGUAGGGGAGACUGGAAUUCCUGGUGUAGCGGUGAAAUGCGCAGAUAUCAGGAGGAACACCGGUGGCGAAGGCGGGUCUCUGGGCCGAUAUUGACGCUGAGGAGCGAAAGCGUGGGGAGCGAACAGG
rnacentral:rRNA from 1 species